rnacentral:sRNA from 1 species
UUAUGUCGUAUAUAUCCUUCUCUAGGCCACAUUGUUCUGAUUCUCAAAUGGCUAACCUUUUAAGGUGCUUAGAUCAGCUUUUGAAUAUUAAGUAGUGUUUUCUAUUUACAUCCACAUAUGUAUGUGCUGGGUAGUUUUUAUGUCACCUUUACACAAAGCAGGGAACCUUAAGUGAGAAAAUGCCACAAGUUCUAGCUAUAGGGCAUUUUCUUAAUCAGUGAUUGAUGGGGAAGAUGCAUCCCAUUGUGAGUGGUGCCAUCCAUGGGCUGGCAGUUCUUGGUUUUGUAAGGCUGAGAAAGCUAUAAUGGGUAAGCCAGUAAGUAGUACUUCUCCAUGGCCUCUGCAUCAGUUCUUGCUUUCAGGUUCCUGUCCUAUUUGAGUUCCUUUCCUGGCUUCCUUCAAUGAUGGACAGUGUUGUGAAUAUAUAAGGCUAAAUAUCUCUUUCUUGUCCACGUUGCUUUUGGUGGUGGUGUUUCAUCACAGUUAUAGUAACUGAAAUUGGGAACAGAAGUUGGUACCAGGAAGUAGGGUAUUACUGUGACAGGCCUGGCCACGCUGUUAUAGGAAUAUGGAAGAAGAUGUUGGGACUUUGAACUAGAAAGGUAGUUGGAUAUUUCAAGUGGAUCUUACUGGGUCUUCCUUAUAGGUGCAUGGAAGACAGUGGUUCUGACAGCAGUGUAGAUGAUGAUGGCCCAGUCCAAGAGGUUUCAGAGGGGCAAAGUGUUUUAGGCUAUUUGAACACAUUUUGAAACUCUAGAUUGUGAACUAGAAAAGCCCUGUUGUGGUAUGGCUCAGCCCUAGCGCACACCUUUAAUCCAAGAGCUAAAUAAAGGCAACCCUAGGUCAAGAGGCAGAGCAAGUAACUAAACUGAGUGGGAGUGAACAUUUUGUAGAAGGAUGUAGCUGCAUUCUGGCCUUAUCCAAAAAAAUAAAAAUAAAAAAAUAAAAAAAAAUAAAAAAAAUCUGCCCCAGGACUGAAUUUGGAUUAGUGUCAUUGAAUGACUUAAAGACAGCCUAGUAGUGACUGUGUUGUGUGUUUAUGGUCAUUCGUAUGCAGAUGUAUAAUGAAAAGGAACAAGCUGGACAGGGAGAAAUACAAAAUGUACAGUUUGAGAUGAAAGUAUAAGGGAGCUAAGUCCAGUUCUCAAGGUGAUGAAAAGUUUAAAGAAAGCCUGAUGCUAAAUGGAAUAAAGGGAGUGGUGGCUUUAGGGGAAGACCACCCAGGUAAGCUUUCAACUUUUGAGAAGGAAUUAAGCAAAAACAUAACCAUUGAAGGAACCCUUCAAUGUCGAAACGCUUAUGCAAAUGUAAUUGAAGGUGGGGUCCAAGUUCAAGCUCCACAGCAGAGCUUGUCAACUUCAGGCAUAUCAUCCUGGCUUUAGGAUCAAGGAAACAAAACAGGAGUUGUGGAAUAACUAAGGAAAGCCACUGAGGCCACACAUGUGUCAAGGAUGUCUCUGCAUGGAAGCCUAGAGAGGCAAUUGUGUGAAGCUGUUAAUAUUAAAUCUGAAUUGUGUUGGAAACGCCAUGGUAUUGGAGGUGUCAGAGUUGUGGGAUACCAGUCAAGGAGAGCUGCUGUGCAAGUGUGGAACCAGCCCGAGAGAGAGAGAAAAGUGCAUUGCAAUCAGCCAACAAAACUGAAAGGAGUUGAAAAUUGGAAGAGUGCUUUGACAUCAGGCAUAGAGAUGUAGUAUUUGGAGUAUGCCCUGCUGGGUAUGGGUCUUGCUUUGCCUGCUUUGGUUUUAGUAUUUCCUCACUCUGCUCAUUCUGCUCUGUUUCCUUUCCUUUUUCUUUUCUUUCUUUCUUUUUUCUUUUUGGCAAUAGUAAUCUAUAUUCUGUGCCAUUGAAUGUUUGAUGUUUGUGAUGUGCUUUUUUUUUAAUUUUGAUUUUAUAGAGAGUUACAGUUAACCAAUUACCUUGAGUCUCAGAAGAGACUUUGAACUUUUAAACAAUGUUGAGACUGAUAGACUAUAGGGACUUUUGAAGUUGAAUUGAAUAUAUACUUUGCAUUAUGAUAUGGAUACAAGCCUAUGGAGCAGGGAGUGGGGACUUUGUGGUUUGAAUAAGAAUGGCCCCCAAAGAAUGCUUAGUAACCAAGGAGUGGCACUGUUUGAAAGGAUUAGAAGGAUUAGGAGGUCUGGCCUUGUUGGAGGAAGUGUGUCACUUGGAGUGGAUUUUGAGGUUCCAAAAGCCCAUGCCAAACCCAGACUCUUUCUCUUUUUAUGGAUGAAGAUGUAGUUUUCAACUACUGCUCCAGCAUGUGUCUGCAUGCUGCCAUGUUUCUUGCUGUGAAGAUAAUGGACUAAGCCUCUGAAACGGUGUUUACAUAUAGAAAACAAAAUAACAAUGACAGAAUAAAUGACUCAACCAGAAUAACAGUACAGAAUCACUCACAUAUAGGUGAUGAAUGAUGGUUAAGUUUGUCACAGUUAUCCUAAUAACUGGAUACAACCUAGAAUCACCUGGGUAAUGGUCUCAAUGAAGAAGGAUUUACAUGGGUUUGAUCUACAGGACCAUGGGAAGGCUGCCAAGAGAGGUGGAGGUAUAUGGUAGAGACAGUCUAAACCGAAGAGAGAAGCUGUAUGCAGCAGAUGGCAGGGAAGGGCGGACUACUCAAGCCCUUGGAGCAGGAAAAUUACA